rnacentral:rRNA from 1 species
GUCGGUAAAACUCGUGCCAGCCACCGCGGUUAUACGAGAGGCUCAAGUUGACAGACAACGGCGUAAAGAGUGGUUAAGGAAAAUACCAAACUAAAGUCGAACAUCCUCAGAGCUGUUAUACGCUUCCGAAGAUAUGAAGUUCAACCACGAAAGUGACUUUACUACCCCUGAACCCACGAAAGCUAAGAAACAAACUGGGAUUAGAUACCCCACUAUG